AUGCCCAGGGAAGGCAGGGCAGCCUGGAAGUCCAACUACUUCCUUAAGAUCAUCCAACUUUUGGACAAUUACCUGAAAUGCUUCAUUGUGGGAGCAGACUAUGUGGGCUCCAAGGAGAUGAACAAGAUCCCCAUGUUCCCUCAAGGGAAGGCUGUGGUGCUUAUGAUAGGCAAGACCACCAUGAUAUGAAAAGCCUUCUGGGGGCACCAGCUCUGGAAAAAAAUGCUGCCUCAUAUUUGGGGGAAUGUCUUCACUAUUUGGGCUUGUCUUCUUCACUAAGGAGGAUCUCAUCAAGAUUAGGCUAAUCAGGUGCUACCUGCUGCCAGUGCUGGUGCCAUCACCCCAUGUGAGGUCUCUGUGCCAGCCCAGAACACUCAUCUGGGUCCUGAGAAGGCUCUUUCUUCCAGGCUUUAGGCAUCACAACUAAAACCUCCAGAGGUACCACUGAAAUUCUCAGUGAUAUGCAGCUGAAAAAAACAAGAGACAAAGUAGGAGGCAGUGAAGCCACACUACUGAAGAUGCUAAACAUCUCUCCCUUCUCCUUUUGGGUGCUCAUCCCUAGCCAAGGCUGAAAGCAAGGAAAACUGAGAGGAAUCACAUAAGAAUAUGAUAUUUGGAAUCUUUGACUAA
rnacentral:lncRNA from 1 species